UGAAUGACUGGAAGCGGAAUGUUCCACGUUACAAAACACUUCACAGAGUCUUGCUUCCUGGAAUCUUGAUUUGAAAGUACAAUCUAGGGUCACAUUGUUAGCAUAUCUUUUAUAUUUCCUGCUAUUUGUGAUUAGUUCAAAUCGUCACCGUAAAGAAAUGGAGUUCAUUCUCUCUCAGGAAGAAAAAGAACGUUUGCCAAAAGAUUGUGCAGUAGCAGCAAGUGUGUAAAAUGUUCAGAAUCCAAUAUCUCAGUGUUGAUCCACUUCCCAGCGUUCAGUGUGACCGAGUGAGAAUGUUUCGAAGCGUCCAGACAGCAAUCAGCUGGUUCCGUGUUAUAACAGGGCGAUGCGAUGGCUGCUGGUGUGAACGGACUCGGUGGAAGGAACCCUUUUUGCGCUAGCUUUACUUAGACCGAUACUCCCAAAUUUGGACGACCGCUCGCAGCAUUCUUAGCAAGACAAAUGUCUCAUUUGGGCCUGAAAAUUAUGUAGAUUAACAACCUGAAGGCCUUUUGUAACUCAUCAAUGAUGCUCUGCUUCAUUGUUUGCUAGUUCGAUUCAUUGGCAGAUGACAAAAUAUAACCUCACUCAAGUUUACGGAGAAGUAAUCUGAAAAUAAUCUAACGAAAAUGUUCCGACAAUUAAAUAUGAUAGCUAAUUAUCAACUACAGAUGUCAGCACUUAUUACAGCUAAAAAUUAAUGCCUUGUCCAAUAAAUAGCAAACUGCUCUGUGUGUGA